rnacentral:tmRNA from 1 species
GGGGGUGAAACGGUUUCGACGUCGAGUGUUGAUGCGUUGGAAGCGAGCCGGGGUCUCCGGGGCCCCGUCAACAAACCGGAAAAACCAAUAAGUGCCGAAGAUAACUUCGCACUGGCUGCCUAAUUAAGUAGCCCGUCCGCCCGGCCGCCUCCCGCACGGCAGGGAUCGGGCGCCGCACUGCGGGACGCUCCCCACGGGGUUUCGGGACCGUGGGGCUAAGACAAUUCCGGAUAGGCACAGGAAAACUCGUCGUCAGAGUUCCCGUCGCCGAAGCUCGCUGACGACUGCGCUCGGAGAUGCCAACGCUGAGGGCUCGACGGACCGGGGUUCGACUCCCCGCACCUCCACCA